UGAACAUCGGGCGCCGACCGAAGGCAAAAUCCACAUCAAUGAAGUUAGCGCCGAAUGGCAUUCUUGCGGAGCACGCUUUGAAGUAGUGAAGCGAGCGCCAAGCGCCACUCAGUUUACUACAAACUCAGAUCGACGACGCAUGUCGCUGUUCCUGUUGUUGUGGCCGAGUGUAUGGUGCUAGUGUAAUAACAUAACAGCAAAUCGUUUUGUGCUGUGAUAUUUUGUGUGGUGCAACCCUAUUAGUGAAGCCGGGCUUUUCGAAGUUAUUGUGAUGCAGUUGAGCGUAUUCCUAUGGCUGUCUUGUGUAGCCCUCGCAGGAUAUGUACGAGCGACAGAGGUAUGUAGCAGAUCACAAAGAUAAUUACACAAACUGGUGAGAGUUUUCGAAAAUGUUCUUUGACACUGCAGGAUCAAAAGCACUCACAUCUUUCU
rnacentral:misc_RNA from 1 species